GACAGAGGUGCCGAGCGUUAGGCGGAAUCACUGGGCUUAAAGCGUGUGUAGGCGGACCGUUAAGUGCCUUGUGAAAUCCCCCGGCUCAACCGGGGAACGGCUGGGCAUACUGGCGGUCUUGAGCCACCUAGGGGCGAGCGGAACAAGCGGUGGAGCGGUGAAAUGCGCAGAUAUCGGGAAGAACACCCGUGGCGAAGGCGGCUCUCUGGGACGGUACUGACGCUGAGACGCGAAAGCGUGGGGAGCGAACAGG
rnacentral:rRNA from 1 species